GAAUAUUGGACAAUGGGCGCAAGCCUGAUCCAGCCAUGCCGCGUGCAGGAUGACGGUCCUAUGGAUUGUAAACUGCUUUUAUACGAGAAGAAACACUGCUUCGUGAAGCAGCUUGACGGUAUCGUAAGAAUAAGGAUCGGCUAACUCGUGCCAGCAGCCGCGGUAAUACGGAGGAUCCAAGCGUUAUCCGGAAUCAUUGGGUUUAAAGGGUCCGUAGGCGGUUUAAUAAGUCAGUGGUGAAAGCCCAUCGCUCAACGGUGGAACGGCCAUUGAUACUGUUAAACUUGAAUUAUUAGGAAGUAACUAGAAUAUGUAGUGUAGCGGUGAAAUGCUUAGAGAUUACAUGGAAUACCAAUUGCGAAGGCAGGUUACUACUAAUGGAUUGACGCUGAUGGACGAAAGCGUGGGUAGCGAACAGGAUUAGAUACCCUGGUAGUCCACGCCGUAAACGAUGGAUACUAGCUGUUGGAAGCAAUUUCAGUGGCUAAGCGAAAGUGAUAAGUAUCCCACCUGGGGAGUACGUUCGCAAGAAUGAAACUCAAAGGAAUUGACGGGGGCCCGCACAAGCGGUGGAGCAUGUGGUUUAAUUCGAUGAUACGCGAGGAACCUUACCAAGGCUUAAAUGUAGUUUGACCGGUUUGGAAACAGAUCUUUCGCAAGACAAAUUACAAGGUGCUGCAUGGUUGUCGUCAGCUCGUGCCGUGAGGUGUCAGGUUAAGUCCUAUAACGAGCGCAACCCCUGUUGUUAGUUGCCAGCGAGUCAUGUCGGGAACUCUAACAAGACUGCCAGUGCAAACUGUGAGGAAGGUGGGGAUGACGUCAAAUCAUCACGGCCCUUACGCCUUGGGCUACACACGUGCUACAAUGGCCGGUACAGAGAGCAGCCACUGGGCGACCAGGAGCGAAUCUAUAAAACCGGUCACAGUUCGGAUCGGAGUCUGCAACUCGA
rnacentral:rRNA from 1 species